GACGAACGCUGGCGGCGUGCCUAACACAUGCAAGUCGAACGGAGUUGCGUGAAGCACAGAGUGCUUUGCAGAGGAUGCGGAGCACCGUGUGCUUUGCGCAGCUUAGUGGCGGACGGGUGAGUAACGCGUGAGCAAUCUGCCUUUCAGUGGGGGAUACCGACGGGAAACUGUCGCUAAUACCGCAUAAUGUAUUUAGGGGGCAUCUCCUGAAUACCAAAGGAGCAAUUUGCUGAAAGAUGAGCUCGCGUCUGAUUAGAUAGUUGGCGGGGUAACGGCCCACCAAGUCGACGAUCAGUAGCCGGACUGAGAGGUUGAACGGCCACAUUGGGACUGAGAUACGGCCCAGACUCCUACGGGAGGCAGCAGUGGGGAAUAUUGGGCAAUGGGCGAAAGCCUGACCCAGCAACGCCGCGUGAAGGAAGAAGGCCCUCGGGUUGUAAACUUCUUUGACGAGGGAAGAAAUAAAUGACGGUACCUCGAAAACAAGCCACGGCUAACUACGUG
rnacentral:rRNA from 1 species